CAAUAGCGUAUAUUAAAGUUGUUGCGGUUAAAACGCUCGUAGUUGGAUUUCUGUUGAGGGCAGCCGGUCCGCACUUCGUGCGUGUAUCUGGUUUGACCUCGGCAUCCUCUCAAAAUACGUUUCUGCGCUUGAUUGCGUGGAGCGGAGUUUGAGACUUUUACUUUGAGGAAAUUAGAGUGUUCACGGCAGGCAAUCGCCUUGAAUAUAUUAGCAUGGAAUAAUAAUAUAGGAUCUUGGUUCUAUUUUGUUGGUUUCUAGAGCUAAGAUAAUGAUUAAUAGGGACAAUUGGGGGCAUUCGUAUUAACGCGUCAGAGGUGGAAUUCUUGGAUUGCGUUACGACGAACUACUGCGAAAGCAUUUGCCAAGGAUGUUCUCAUUGA
rnacentral:rRNA from 1 species